AACUGAUACUACCUGCGGGAACCUGCGGAGGGAUCAUUACAGAGUUGUAAAACUCCCAAACCCAUGUGAACAUACCUCUGUUGCCUCGGUGGCCUACCCGGUAGCUACCCUGUAGUUACCCUGUAGACUGCCGGCGGACUUUAGAAACUCUUGUUUUUAGUGUAUCUCUGAGAACAACUUCAAAUAAGUUAAAACUUUUAACAACGGAUCUCU
rnacentral:misc_RNA from 1 species